rnacentral:rRNA from 1 species
ACGGGAGGCAGCAGUGGGGGAUAUUGCACAAUGGGGGAAACCCUGAUGCAGCGACGCCGCGUGAGUGAUGACGUAUUUCGGUAUGUAAAGCUCUAUCAGCAGGGAAGAUAAUGACGGUACCUGACUAAGAAGCACCGGCUAAAUUCGUGCCAGCUGCCGCGGUAAUACGUAUGGUGCCAGCGUUAUCCGGAUUUACUGGGUGUAAAGGGGGCGUAGACGGCAAGGCAAGCCAGAUGUGAAAGGCUGGGGCUCAACCCCGGGACUGCAUUUGGAACUGUCUAGCUUGAGUAUCGGAGAGGUAAGUGGAAUUCCUAGUGUAGCGGUGAAAUGCGUAGAUAUUAGGAGGAACACCAGUGGCGAAGGCGGCUUACUGGACGAUAACUGACGUUGAGGCUCGAAAGCGUGGGGAGCAAACAGGAUUAGAUACCCUGGUA